UAAUUCUUUUCUCCUUCUUCUCUCUUCUCUCUCUCUUCACUCUCUCUACGUCACCCCAGCUCUGCCCACCGCCGCCGGCGGACCGCCUCCAAACACCUCCAAAUUCACACCAUGUAAUCUCCACAACUUCCUCCUUCCAUAUCUCCAAACCAAAUCCUUCAAAAAUCCCUCAAACUCCUUGAAUCUUAGAUCUAGGAAACUUUUCCGUCACUUUUUUGCCCAAAUUCUUGAAGCUCCAACCACUACCAGCCCACAAUACUUACAUCAAUGGAUAGAGCUCCUCAAGACCUAGUUAUUGAUGCCAAUUUCACCAUGAAAAUCCGGCGAUCAAAAUCCGACGACCUCUCCGAACACCCUCUUUUGGCAUACCACCAUUUUUUCGGCCACUUGAAUUAUAAAAUGGUAAAAAUCCUAUUAUUUUUCGUGGCUGAUUUUUUAUUUUAUUUUUAUUUUUCAGAUUUUAUUUUUGUCUAUUAUUAAUUAUUUUAGCAUUAGUUUUUGAAGUUUGAAAUGUCAAAUUUUCUAUUUUUGCACUUGUUGAAGUAGUAAAAUAGUUUUGUGUUGAUAAAAGUGAGGUAGUGAAAAAUACUUAAGAGUAUAUGGUACUUGUUUGAUUGUUUAUUUACUACUUCAAGACUCUUUGAGUACAACACUCAAGUCAAAUUGUUUGGUAAGAAAAUAUAGACCUUUGGACAGUGUUUGAAUAAAAGUUUGUCUUCGAAUAGUGGAGAGCAGAUUUUGUUUGAAAUACUUGACAAGAUUUGAACCAGAAAGUCUGGCAUUUUGAAUUUAAGAGCAGAUUUUGUAGAAAUAUCUGUCAAAAAGAUUGAUUUUUAAUUUUUUUGAAAUAACUGAUUGUUUUGAUAUAAAAGGAGGACACUCCAUCUUAAUGAGAGAGCUCUAGACACACAAAAAAGAGAAAAAAUCAGUAGCUACAAUAUCCCUUAGCAGGUUUUGUGAGUUGAUUCUUAAGUGAAAAACUUGUUUAAGGAAAAUAGAGUAGUCUUGAAAGAUUUUUCUGGAGUUACAUAAUUGUACUGUUUUGCUGGGGUAUUUCUAGUUUAUUUUCUUGGGUUUGAAUCUGCCGGUUGUCGCUGUCUUUUGCUGUUGUUGCUGCCCGUUUAAUUGUUUUGCUGUUGAUUUUGGAAAGAGCUGACUCUGCUGUAUUUGUUCUUCUUUCUGCUGUCCAUGUAAUUUU
rnacentral:lncRNA from 1 species